rnacentral:tRNA from 1 species
GCCUGAGUGGCUCAGUCGGUUGAGCGUCUGACUUGGGCUCAGGUCAUGAUCCCAGGGUUUGUGGGUUUGAGCCCCACAUUGGGCU